rnacentral:rRNA from 1 species
GAUGAACGCUAGCGGCAGGCUUAACACAUGCAAGUCGAGGGGUAUAGUUCUUCGGAGCUAGAGACCGGCGCACGGGUGCGUAACGCGUAUGCAAUCUACCUUUCACAGAGGGAUAGCCCAGAGAAAUUUGGAUUAAUACCUCAUAGUAUAAUGAGUUGGCAUCAACCCAUUAUUAAAGUCACAACGGUGAAAGAUGAGCAUGCGUCCCAUUAGCUAGUUGGUAGGGUAACGGCUUACCAAGGCUACGAUGGGUAGGGGUCCUGAGAGGGAGAUCCCCCACACUGGUACUGAGACCCGGACCAGACUCCUACGGGAGGCAGCAGUGAGGAAUAUUGGUCAAUGGACGCAAGUCUGAACCAGCCAUGCCGCGUGCAGGAUGACGGUCCUAUGGAUUGUAAACUGCUUUUGUACGAGAAGAAACACUCCUUCGUGAAGGAGCUUGACGGUAUCGUAAGAAUAAGGAUCGGCUAACUCCGUGCCAGCCGCCGCGGUAA